UCAAGCCUGACAGACUGUUUAUGGGUUUUGGCAGCAGAGUGAGGUCUGUGCACAAGAAGGGCCGAUGAGGGAAACUCCACAGAAGAAUCUGGAGCGAGAGAAGCCUGGCCUUGCUGGGAAAGGGCAGACUGGCAUAGAAGGGAGGAUGACCCUGUGUGCUUCCUGCAAUGACCAACGUGCUUCUCCGCCUCUACCCUGAGCAGAGCUGAAGGCACGUUCUGUCCCGACGGGACAGUAGCAUCUCCGUAAUUACAUUACUAAAGGAAAAAAUUCUGCAUUUCGGAUUCCCUCAAAGCCAGCAGGACCACUGCAUGAAGGAGGUGAUGGAACACAGAUGGCGUCAGACAUGUGCCAAACGUCCCCUGCGGAAGAACACCUCCUCUGAGGGAAGUCAGGACAGGAGCAGCCCUGUGGAGAAUCCAAGUAGCGAGGUGCGGAAGCCUUCUUCCAGUCACCAGUGUUUUUGAAGGUCCUGAGAACGCCCCCAAGUUUGUUGAUUGGCCAGAAGGACUCACAAGACUGAAGAGAAGGUUACAGAUAACUGAGUAAAGCAGCAGGGAAGAUAUUUUCACUGGGCAGAGUUCAGACACAGUCAGAAUGGGCUUUGGAGCCUUUCAUCAGAGGCCACACAUGACGUGAUUUCUCUCCAACAGCGACUGAUAAGAACAUGUAUGGUAUGUGUCUACACAGGGAAUCCUGCUGGAGCCUCGGGGUCCAAGGUUUUUCUGGUGUGCUGGUCACAUGAGCAUAUCUUGCUGUGCAACCAGCUGUGGCAACUAAAACUCAGGACCUCCACAGUGGAACUAGGCGCAUAACUUAAUUUUGAUAUUUGUGCAGAGCAACUUGACAAGCUAGUCCAGUCCUGCCCAUUUUUCCAUGUAUACGCAAAUAAAAUCGUCAUCUGACACCUAAGGGCCUGUAUCCCCAGUGGUUGGCCAAGGGUCAUUCAUGGUUCCAGAUUCUUCUGGAGAUAUGCAAGGAAUAAACAACUAGAGCAGUUUUGUUAACCCUUUCCUUUCCACUAAGGUGGCCCACAUCAGUUAGCAUCAACUUCUAAAUAUGUUGACGAAUGAGUCUUCAGAAAAUUCUAGCCUCUGGACUUCAAAUCUUCCAGCUUAGGCCCCCAAAAUUGUGAAGCAGAAACAAGCAUUCCCCUCUGCUCUGGCAGAAUUCCUGAUUCACAAAAAACUAUAACGAGUAAUAAAUGACUAUUGUUUGAAACCACCAAGUUUGGAGAAAGUACGUUAUGCAGCAAUAGACGAAUAACACAGGGUAAUAUUUUCUUGUUUCUUUGCAAAUCUGGCAUUUUUUAAAAAGGAUUUUAUUUUAUUUAUUUGAGAG